AAACCUUCAAGCACUGCUUGGUGUUGGGCGCUUGUCGUCCGCCCUGUCCAGGGCGGGGACUCGCCUCAAAAGCAUUGGCGGCCCGUGUAUCGGCUUCGAGCGCAGCAGAAACUCGCGUCUCGCAUGCCACCCGCGCGGGCGUCCAUCAAGACACACCCCAAA
rnacentral:misc_RNA from 1 species